rnacentral:rRNA from 1 species
GUGUCAGCAGCCGCGGUAAGACGAACCGUGCAAACGUUACUCGGAUUCACUGGGCUUAAAGGGCGCGUAGGCGGCUCGCCAAGUCUGGGGUGAAAUCUUUCGGCUCAACCGGAAAAUUGCCUGGGAUACUGGCGGGCUCGAGCGAGAUAGGGGUCACGGGAACUUCCAGUGGAGCGGUGAAAUGCGUUGAUAUUGGAAGGAACGCCGGUGGCGAAAGCGCGUGACUGGAUCUCUUCUGACGCUGAGGCGCGAAAGCUAGGGGAGCAAACGGGAUUAGAUACCCCCGUAGUCC